rnacentral:tRNA from 1 species
GGGGAUAUAGCUCAGCUGGUUAGAGCACCUGCCUUACAAGCAGGGGGUCUCCUGUUCGAAUCAGGAUAUCCCCA